rnacentral:rRNA from 1 species
UACGAAGGGGCUAGCGUUGCUCGGAAUCACUGGCGUAAAGCGCACGUAGGCGGAUUGUUAAGUCAGGGUGAAAUCCUGGAGCUCAACUCCAGAACUGCCUUGAUACUGGCGAUCUCGAGUCCGGAGAGGUGAGUGGAACUGCGAGUGUAGAGGUGAAAUUCGUAGAUAUUCGCAAGAACACCAGUGGCGAAGGCGGCUCACUGGCCCGGUACUGACGCUGAGGUGCGAAAGCGUGGGAGCAAACAGG